rnacentral:rRNA from 1 species
AUGCUAAUAUCAUCAACGAUUGACGUUACCGACAGAAGAAGCACCGGCUAACUCCGUGCCAGCAGCCGCGGUAAUACGGAGGGUGCAAGCGUUAAUCGGAAUUACUGGGCGUAAAGCGCACGCAGGCGGUUGAUUAAGUUAGAUGUGAAAUCCCCGGGCUUAACCUGGGAAUGGCAUCUAAGACUGGUCAGCUAGAGUCUUGUAGAGGGGGGUAGAAUUCCAUGUGUAGCGGUGAAAUGCGUACAGAUGUGGAGGAAUACCGGUGGCGAAAGCGGCCCCCUGGACAAAGACUGACGCUCAAGUGCCAAAGCGUG